rnacentral:snoRNA from 1 species
CCCCUGCAGCUUCAUUUUUCCUCACAUCUAAGUAUUGGUCUGAGUGAUGAAAAAGGAAGAAAAGUAAAAUUGAAGUGGACUUGGCGUCAUUAGUGACUUAAAAGUUCAUUUCGAACAGGA